CGAUAACCAGGAGGUCUUUUUUCAUCGACCAUGUGCAUGUCCGUUCAGCGGAAAGCCUGAGGUCAUAAGGAGACCACCGCCUUGAACCGCAGGGUUCAAGGACCUAUUAGUACAGCGGCAAUUUGGGGAACUA
rnacentral:sRNA from 1 species